rnacentral:rRNA from 1 species
AGUGAACGCUGGCGGUAGGCCUAACACACGCAAGUCGAACGGCAGCACAGUAAGAGCUUGCUCUUACGGGUGGCGAGUGGCGGACGGGUGAGGAAUACAUCGGAAUCUACUUUUUCGUGGGGGAUAACGUAGGGAAACUUACGCUAAUACCGCAUACGACCUACGGGUGAAAGCAGGGGAUCUUCGGACCUUGCGCGAUUGAAUGAGCCGAUGUCGGAUUAGCUAGUUGGCGGGGUAAAGGCCCACCAAGGCGACGACCCGUAGCUGGUCUGAGAGGAUGAUCAGCCACACUGGAACUGAGACACGGUCCAGACUCCUACGGGAGGCAGCAGUGGGGAAUAUUGGACAAUGGGCGCAAGCCUGAUCCAGCCAUACCGCGUGGGUGAAGAAGGCCUUCGGGUUGUAAAGCCCUUUUGUUGGGAAAGAAAAGCAGCAGGUUAAUACCCCGCUGUUCUGACGGUACCAAAAGAAUAAGCACCGGCUAACUUCGUG